UACGAAGGUCCCGAGCGUUGUUCGGAAUCACUGGGCGUAAAGGGAGCGUAGGCUGCACGGUAAGUCAGAUGUGAAAGCCCGGGGCUCAACCCCGGAACUGCAUCCGAUACUGCCGUGCUUGAGGACUGGAGAGGAGUCUGGAAUUCACAGUGGAGCAGUGAAAUGCGUAGAUAUUGUGAGGAACGCUAGUAGCGAAGGCGAGACUCUGGACAGAUCCUGACGCUGAGGCUCGAAGGCCAGGGGAGCAAACGGG
rnacentral:rRNA from 1 species